UGAGAGAUGAGGAGCCAGUUUCAUUCUCCUAUAUGUGGCUAGCCAAUUAUCCCAGCACCAUUUGUUGAAAAGAGUGUCUUUUCCCCACUUUGUGUUUUUGUUUGCUUUGUCAAGGAGCCGUUGGCUGGUGGAAAACUCCUAGACCAGCCCCAGGUUUCCUGCCAUGAACUUGGAUCCGGGACCCCAACCUGCAUAUGGUGAUUUUUGCCCUUGUCGCCCUGUAGGAAUUCAACUUCCUAGGGUCCAGCGGCCCAUGGCUUUAGCCUCCAUCCAGGUACUUCUAGGCCUCUACCAUCCAGGGAUCCUGCUACCUUCAUUAAAAUCAGGGAGCCAAUUUCAAAUGCAACAUCUACUAACAUCUCUGAAAACAAAACUCCACUAAAGUGCUUUUUCAAAAAUGCUGGUGUUUCCCUCAACAGUGGAUUUCUCAAAACCUUGAAAAGAGAGUGUCUUAUAAAUCCUCAGGGAACAACAUUUGCUGGGGGGAGGGAUGGGUCAUUCCUUCUCUCUCUAAGUCUUUGCAUUUUUUCCUGUGCAUUUUACCAAUAAAUUUCUGUCAUUCCAACCAGCUUCAGCUAGUAGCAGUUUUGAAUCUACGUUUUAGUAAGCCAACUAAUUAUCAUUAAAAGUAUAUCUGAG
rnacentral:lncRNA from 1 species